UACGUAGGUGGCAAGCGUUGUCCGGAAUUAUUGGGCGUAAAGCGCGCGCAGGCGGUCCUUUAAGUCUGAUGUGAAAGCUCCCGGCUCAACUGGGAGAGGUCCUUGCAUACUGGCGAACUCGAGGGAGGCAGAGGAAAGUGGAAUUCCCGGUGUAGUGGUGAUAUGCGUAGAUAUCGGGAGGAACACCUGUGGCGAAGGCGGCUUUCUGGGCCUUACCUGACGCUGAGACGCGAAAGCGUGGGGAGCGAACCGG
rnacentral:rRNA from 1 species